CGUCAUGGUUGAGGACUUGAUAUAUCAUGAGCCAUUCAUUGUCCAUAAAAAAAAGAAUUGGAAGAGCUCAAAUUACGGUAUAAAAAUUGAAGGAGGUGCACAGUUCAUUCCGUGAUCUUGCUGAUAGAAUGAUUGAGGAGAAGGACAAA